rnacentral:rRNA from 1 species
AUGUUCGCCUUGACUGUCCUUCGAGUGCCAAAGAAGCUUCUAAAGGAGAUUGACAAGUGCAGGCGCAGAUUUUUAGGGAAGCAAGAUGAGGAGAUCACAGGUGGUAGCUGCAAGGUCAAUUGGACAGCAGUGUGCGCUCCCACAUCGCACGGAGGACUGGGCAUCCUCGACCUCGAGCGGUUCAGUCGAGCCCUUAGAUUGCGGUGGCUCUGGACAUCCUGGACCGACCCGGAGCGAGCAUGGGUUGGUACAGAGCCACCGUGCAGCAACAUCGACAAAAGCCUUUUCAGGGCAGUGACCACGGUCACCAUCGGCGACGGCGCAACGGCCCUCUUCUGGCACUCCUCCUCGAUCGGGCCGCACAACUUAGCCGCCUCAUACCCCCUCCUCUACUCGCACUCUAGGCGAAAAAAUAGGAUGGUGCGCGAGGCGCUCACAGGCAAAACUUGGAUAAAAGACCUGCGACACGGGAACCUACAGCCACUCCUGCCGGAAUUUAUCAGGCUACACCGCAUUAUUUCCUUGAUUGUGCUAACUGACGGGACCAGGGACAAGAUUAGAUGGACUCUUGAGGCGAGCGGCCUAUACUCGCCAAGCUCGGCUUAUGCCGUGCAGUUUCGGGGACGUGUUCAUGUUGACUGGUAG